rnacentral:rRNA from 1 species
AGUAACAUCCGGAAACGGGUGCUAAUACCGCAUAGUUUUCUUGGUCGCAUGAUCGGGAAAGGAAAGACGGCCUUUGUGCUGUCGCUUAUGGAUGGACCCGCGGCGUAUUAGUUAGUUGGUGAGGUAACGGCUCACCAAGACGAUGAUACGUAGCCGACCUGAGAGGGUGAUCGGCCACAUUGGGACUGAGACACGGCCCAAACUCCUACGGGAGGCAGCAGUAGGGAAUCUUCCGCAAUGGACGAAAGUCUGACGGAGCAACGCCGCGUGAGUGAAGAAGGUUUUUUCGGAUCGUAAAACUCUGUUGUCAGAGAAGAACAAGUUGGAGAGUAACUGCUCCAGCCUUGACGGUAUCUGACCAGAAAGCCACGGCUAACUACGUGCCAGCAGCAGC